UACUCCGAAACUGCAUUCGAUACUGGCGUGCUUGAGGACUGGAGGAGGAGACUGGAAUUUACGUGUAGCAGUGAAAUGCGUAGAUAUCGUAAGGAAGACCAGUGGCGAAGGCGGGUCUCUGGACAGUUCCUGACACUGAGACACGAAGGCCAGGGGAGCAAACGGGAUUAGAUACCCCGGUAGUCCUGGCAGUAAACGGUGCACGUUUGGUGUGGGAGGAUUCGACCCCUUCUGCGCCGGAGCCAACGCGUUAAACGUGCCGCCUGGGGAGUACGGUCGCAAGAUUAAAACUCAAAGAAAUUGACGGGGGCCCGCACAAGCGGUGGAGUAUGUGGCUCAAUUCGAUGCAACGCGAAGAACCUUACCAGGCCUUGACAUGCAUCUCUAAGUUGGUGAAAGCCAGCGAGUCUCGAAAGAGACAAUUUGCACAGGUGCUGCAUGGCUGUCGUCAGCUCGUGUCGUGAGAUGUUGUCUAAGUCCCGCAAUGAGCGCAAUCCCUGUGAACUGUGCCCACGGAACCGAGAGGUUCCACCACUCUGUUCAGUCUGCCUUGCUUAAACGAGGAGGAAGGUGGGGACGACGUCAAGUCAGUAUGGCCCUUUCGGCCUGGGCUGCACACGUACUACAAUGCCCAGUACAGAGCGAUCCAAUACCGCGAGGUGGAGGAAAUCACUUAAAACUGGGCCCAGUUCGGAUUGGAGGCUGCAAUUCGCCUCCAUGAAGCCGGAAUCGCUAGUAAUGGCGCAUCAGCUACGGCGCCGUGAAUACGUUCCCGGGCCUUGUACACACCGCCCGUCACAUCAUGAAAGCCGUUUGUACUAGAAGUCGCCACACUAACCCGCAAGGGAGGGAGGCGCCUAAGGUAUGGUCGGUGAUUGGGGUGAAGUGGUAACAAGUAACCAAGCCGAAUGCGCGAGUACCAUC
rnacentral:rRNA from 1 species